rnacentral:lncRNA from 10 species
GUGACCUUACCCCCAACCCUGUGCUCUCUGAAACAUGUGCUGUGUUGUCCACUCAGGAUUAAAUGGAUUAAGGGCGGUGCAAAAAAAAAAAAAAAAGAAAUUUAGCAUUUAAUUUUAAGCAGAAACUCUGCCCUCAAACCUUAUUAAUCAGACUAUGACAGGAGUAAAACACAAGAAUGGUGUUCAACAUUCUUGUGAAUGAUUCUUUCUUUUCUCAUCCAAGAUUGAUGAGAAAAACCUCCACCCAAGGUAUCAAAAGUUUAAUACUGAUUCUGUUCUCCUCUCUUUUGAAUACAUAAACUAGCUAGAUGACAAUAUCAUUCCACUUUUUACUAUUAUCUGUCAGCUGUCAAUUACAACAACAACCCCAAAAAAAUUAAAUCUUGACAGACAUCAUUGUUUCAGAUGCCUCUGGAAGAGAGAGGAGAGGGAAAAAAAAAUUGUUGGAAAGUUCUUUACAGCCCUGUGAGACUAAGUAAAAGAGACCUUAUCAUUAUUCAAAAGGUAGAGUUCUGGAGAAAACAAAGACCUAAAAUAAAUUAACCUAGACAGAAGAAAAAGACUUGGGUGAUUUAGUAGCAGUACUGCCCUCAGUGACUCAAUGUUUGCAAUAAGGAAUGGGUAGUAUCAGCUUUCCUGAUACAUAAAAUAUCACUUGUAUUAUUUCCUCUUCAAUGAGCAAAGAGAAGUAAUAACCUGGCAUCACAAAGAAAAAUAAAUUAUCCACAUAGUAACUUUCUGAUAAACUCUUGGCUGUCCAGCAGAAGGCCCAGCUGGGAAGAAAGUGCUGUGGACUACAGCUUGGCUCCAUCCCACGCCAGCCCUCUGACCCUGGGGCUGGAUCGUCUCUGGAUGAGGGGGUUGCUCAGGUGAUCUCUAAGGGCCUGCUCACCUUAAAGAAUUUACAAAUAAUUAUCCCACUUGGGCUUUUUAUGGCAGUAUAUUCAUACCUUGGUAUACCACACACAGCAAUGGAAAAGAAACUACAGACUACACAGAACAUGGAUGAAUUUCACAGACAUCACAAUGAGCUGAAGAAGCCAGAUACAAAAAGAAAAAAAAAAAAGCACCGUAUGACUCCAUUUAUAUGGAUCUUAAAAACAGAAAAAAUGAAUCUAUGGGACUAAAGAUCAGAAUACUGGUUAUCCUUGGGAGUGUAGGGGGAGUGCUGAUUGGGAGAAAGCACAGCAGAGCUUUUCGGGUACUAAGGACUGAACUGUAUUCUCUCAGAAUUCCUGUGUUGAAGCCCUACCCCACAAUGUGAUGCUAUUUGGAGAUGGGGUCUUUGGGAAGUAAUUAGACUCAGAUGAGGUGACGUGGGUGGGGUCUUCAGGAUGGGAUAAGUGCCCUUAGACACACCAGAAAGCUUGCUUUCCUCCACCUACCUCUCCCCACACAUACACAUCAAAGAAAGGUCUUGACUACACACUGAGCAGCGAGGAAGAGGGCCCUCACCAGAACCCAACUAUGCUGGCAUCCUGAUCUCGGACUUCCAGCCUCCAAAACUGUGAGGAAAUAAAUUUCUGUUUAAGCCAGAACAACAGAUAUUUUGAUAUUUUAUUAUGGUGAUCUGAGCUGACCAAAGUACCAGAAAUGCUUUAUAUUUCAAUAUGGACAGUGGUCACAUAAGUGAAUAAAUGUGUAAAAAUUCCCUAAGCUGUAUACUUAAGGUUGACUCACAGUUUUUUAGAAGGAAUAGCAAGAAACAAAGCACUGACUUAGCAAGAAACAACCUAGCAUUACCAAGGUGAGAGUUGGGAGACUUUUCUACUUUUCAUUUGAUUCCCUUGUCAGGGCAAAUUCUUUUCCAUGAGUAUAUGUGAUCUUACAUAAUUUUUAAUAACUUGUUAAUUUUAAUAUUGCUCUAAAUUCCCUACUUCACAGUGUGUGUCUCACCACUGCCCUUGAAGACUCAAUGGCAAUGACUGUCAAAUCCACACCUGCCCCCGUGCACUCAAACUCCAACCGUGAGUUUCCAGGCACCACUGGUGCAUCUCCUCUCAAGCACAUAACUGUCACACCCACCAUGUCUCCAAAUGCAGUUAUCCACCCCCAACUCCUCCUCCGCCUCUGCCCCUGGCUUCUGUCUCCCAGGUUCUAACUCACCCUGUUCCUUUGCAUCUCUGUGUUACCUCAGAUUGUUUACUUACAGGUGUCCCUCCACUCUCAGACUCAGAAACCAAACACAUGUAGAUACAUUUUUCCAUAGCAAGCAGGCAGGUAUUCCUCAUUAUCCAAACUAUUGCUACUCUCUAACUAAAACUCAGGAAACGAAAUACUACAGACUCAGAUAACAUGAUAUUCCUCACUCUCCAAACUCUCAUUACCGAAACAGAUUAUUUAUUUAUUUAUUUUUGAGAUGGAAUCUCGCUUUGUUGCCCAGGCUGGAGUGCAAUAGCGUGAUCUCAGCUCACUGCAACCUCCACCUCCCGGUUUCAAGCAAUUCUCCUGCUGACUCAGUCUCCUGGGUAGCUGGGAUUACAGGCACGUGCCAUCACGCCA